GUGGCUUAGUGGUAGAGUGCUUGCCUUGCAUGCAUGAGGUCCUGGGUUCAAUUCCUCAGC
rnacentral:tRNA from 1 species